AUUGUUUUCUGUUUAUGUGUUCACGGGCUUUGCAUUUGGCUGAAAAAUCGUUUAGGGUUGCGUACUUCAUCUUCCAGAUUCUUCAUCGACUGAGACGGUCCCAAUUCCUAAGUUUCGUUUCUCAAACUCGAUCUCUUCGACUCCUCCACGUUCAGUACCGAUAUGUGUUCCUGUAACGGAUUUUCCAGCCUCCUUUAUAUAGAGUUCCUCGAAGGAGUUGGUCGAUCGAUAUGAUUUCAGGUUUUGGAUUGAUCAUGAUUUGGGUGGUGGUCGAUCGAUACGAUUUCUACCCGAGCUAAAUUUCCGUAGUUGACAGAUCACCGAUCAUGGCGAACCUAUAACACUUUCAUCACCAAAAGCGAAGGAGUAACAGAAAGUCAUCCGCUAGCUUCCCAGUCUGCUGCAACUGAUGUCGAUCAGCUUAUCUCGGCGUGUUUAUCAUAAUCAAUGUGAUCACAUUCUCUGGGUUCUUGAUCUUCCCUUUCAUCAGAUUUAUCACCGUCAAAUCCUUUGAAAUCUUCUCAGAGCUUUCUACCUUAGUCAAACCAGAGCUUAUUCUUAACCCUUACUCUUUCUAACGUUUUCACAGCGAAAUGACUACACCAAAAUGAAAUUGAGCUAAACACAGUCUAUUGGCAACACUAUCAUCACCAUGGGUGGUAUCAAAAGUAGUCAUUGACGUCCUAAUGCGAUUUUCGACGAUUAAGGGACGUAAUCCGAGUCAGAAAGCUGCGAUUCCAUAUAAAAUGAAAACAAGACCAGGACCAGGACCAGGACCAGACAGAAAAAUCAAUAGUCUCCCCAAACUAAAGCCAAAACACCGUCAAUCGUUUCCCGUUGCAGCUAAGAACCAGAGAGAUGCGGAGGAUCAGUUCACUGUACGGUGAAUUGGACUUCUUAAGAGAGCACCCGAAAAACCUUCGAAGAAAUCUUAUACGUUCCUGGUAUCUCUCUCCUUCACUACGAACGGUGGCUAAGGCGAUGGCAGUGAGUUUCAGCAGAAUAGCUCCAGUCAAGAUAUCUGAUCCUGAUCUCAAUUUUAUACCCUGACCAAGCAGCGUGGCUGUCUCACCACAAAAUGACUCCUUUGUUGACGCCGUUGCAGACUGCGUAGAGGGAUACAUUUUGUCUUGGGGAAGUCAGAACAUGGAUUCCAUUGGCUGAUCGUGGCAAAGGUCUUUUCAAUGCAGAAGAGUUUGAGAGUAAAAUUGACAAGGAGACUACUUUUUAAAAGUUCAGUCUAUGGAGGUAGUAAAGAAAGACAUAUAUGUACUUUGAUGCAUUUUCAACUCUGUUUUACCAUAAAAAUGCAGAUGACGAGUUAUAUGUAGCGCUGGGUGUGGUUAUCGCUUGUUGUGUUCUUAUAACCGCUGGGUGUGGUUUUUGUAUUCUUAUACAAUCGGGAACUUGUUUUAAUCGAUGUGUUUCGGGUUUUGUUCUU